rnacentral:rRNA from 1 species
CCCUUAGAUGUUCUGGGCCACACGCGCGUUACACUGAUGAAGCCAGCGAGUAUAUCGCCUUCACCGGAAGGUGCGGGUAAUCUUGUGAAACUUCAUCGUGCUGGGGAUAGACCAUUGCAAUUAUUGGUCUUGAACGAGGAAUUCCUAGUAAGCAUGCGUCAUCAACUCGUGCUGAUUACGUCCCUGCCCUUUGUACACACCGCCCGUCGCUACUACCGAUUGAAUGGUUUAGUGAGAUCUCGGGAUUGGAGACGUUGCGCCGCAAGGCACAUCGUCCUCGAGAACUUGAUCAAACUUGAUCAUUUAGAGGAAGUAAAAGUCGUAACA